GACGAACGCUGGCGGCGUGCUUAACACAUGCAAGUCGAACGGUGAAGCGCCUUCCUUUUUGGUGGGUGUGGAUGAGUGGCGAACGGGUGAGUAACACGUCAGUAACCUGCCCCCUUCUUCUGGAUAACCGCAUGAAAGUGUGGCUAAUACGGGAUAUUCUGGGUCUGUCGCAUGAUGGGUCUGGGAAAGAUAUUGUUUCGGUGGGGGAUGGGCUCGCGGCCUAUCAGGUUGUUGGUGGGGUGGUGGCCUACCAAGGCGGUGACGGGUAGCCGGCCUGAGAGGGUGGACGGGCACACUGGGGAUGAGACACGGCCACGACUGCUACGGGAGGCAGCAGUGGGGAAUAUUGCACAAUGGGGGGAAGCAUGAUGCAGCGACGCCGCGUGAGGGAUGGAGGCCUUCGGGUUGUGAACCUCUUUCGCCAGUGAAGCAGGGCUGCCUCGUUUGUGGGUGGGUUGACGGUAGCUGGAUAAGAAGCGCCGGCUAACUACGUG
rnacentral:rRNA from 1 species